rnacentral:rRNA from 1 species
AUUGAACGCUGGCGGUAUGCUUAACACAUGCAAGUCGAACGAUGAGAAAGAGCUUGCUCUUUCGAUUAGUGGCGGACGGGUGCGUAACGCGUAGGAAUCUACCUAUUAGUGGGGGACAACUUAGGGAAACUUAAGCUAAUACCGCAUACGCCCUACGGGGGAAAGGAGGGGAUCGCAAGACCUUUCGCUAAUAGAUGAGCCUGCGUAGGAUUAGCUAGUUGGUGGGGUAAAGGCUCACCAAGGCGACGAUCCUUAACUGGUUUGAGAGAAUGAUCAGUCACACUGGAACUGGGACACGGUCCAGACUCCUACGGGAGGCAGCAGUGGGGAAUAUUGGACAAUGGGCGAAAGCCUGAUCCAGCAAUACCGCGUGUGUGAAGAAGGCCUUAGGGUUGUAAAGCACUUUCAAUUGGAAGGAAAAAUUCGUGGCUAAUAUCCGCGAACUUGACAUUACCUUUAGAAGAAGCACCGGCUAACUCCGUGCCAGCCGCCGCCGUAA